rnacentral:rRNA from 1 species
UACAGAGGUGGCAAGCGUUACUCGGAAUUACUAGGCGUAAAGGGCAGGUAGGUGGUUUGGUAAGUCUAUUGUGAAAGCUCCCGGCUUAACUGGGAGAGGCCAAUGGAUACUGCCAAGCUUGAGUAUAGGAGAGGUUACUGGAAUUCCCGGUGUAGCGGUGAAAUGCGCAGAUAUCGGGAGGAACACCAAUGGCGAAAGCAGGUAACUGGACUAUUACUGACACUCAACUGCGAAAGCUAGGGGAGCAAACAGG